rnacentral:snRNA from 1 species
GUGCUCGAUUCAGCAGCACAUAUACUAAAAUUGGAACAGUACAGAGAAGAUUAGCAUGGCCCCUGUGCAAGGAUGACAUGCAAAUAUGUAAAACAUACCAUAUUUUA